AUACCUUUUUCUGAUUUUUUGUUUAGAUCAAAUGUAGUAUCUGUUUUUAUUAAUUUAAUAUUUGAUACACAAGUCAAUGAUCUACAUGAUAUUAAAUUAUUAUUUUUUAUUUAUGAAAGAGCCUACUACAAUAAGCUAUCAUGCGUCGCCACGUGUUGCACUACUUCUCAGGCCUGACGCACCCAAA